CGCGUAGGCGGCCUUCUAAGUCGAACGUGAAAUCCCUGGGCUCAACCCAGGAACUGCGUCCGAUACUGAAAGGCUUGAAUCCGGGAGAGGGAUGCGGAAUUCCAGGUGUAGCGGUGAAAUGCGUAGAUAUCUGGAGGAACACCGGUGGCGAAGGCGGCAUCCUGGACCGGUAUUGACGCUGAGGCGCGAAGCCAGGGGAGCAAACGG
rnacentral:rRNA from 1 species